GCAAAAUGUUUAAAUUGCAGUAGAUACCACAUCAUGGUGGCUGUUUCUUUCACUCCAGUGCUCAGUCAGCUGUCCAGGUAGUGUGUGUCUGGCUCAGUGUUACAGUGCUGGUAGAGUAUCUCUGUAUUUGGCUUUGGCUGCAGGUUCUGUUUUAGAGUCUGUCGCUGAGCUGCUGCAGAGCUUGGCACAAUGAGAGUACAAGGCUGCACACUUCAGACUCACUCCUAUAAGGAAGCUUUGAAGUUGAACUUUCAUAGGUGGUAGAAAAUAACAGUUUUCAAUCAAAGUAGCCAUAUGACUUAUGAUGUGAAGUAAAUUUUCCUUGACUGUUGCAGGCAGAGCUACUGAUGAGCUGCUCAGUGUGGAGAUGAAGCAGUGUGUGGAGCAGCUGGCCUGUAGGGGGCAGUACACAGCAGGAACCAAGACUGAUGUCAGUGUUGCUUGACUGGUGUGGAGAACUGGAGUCCACCUGCUGGGAUGUGACCAGGCACUUCUGCUCAGCCUGAGUUUGAGGAUGAAAUUUAAACUGUCUAACAUUGAUUACAUGAACUUUACUUG